rnacentral:rRNA from 1 species
GUCCACGCCGUAAACGAUGAGUGCUAGGUGUCGCGGGUAUUGACCCCUGCGGUGCCGCAGCUAACGCAGUAAGCACUCCGCCUGGGGAGUACGGCCGCAAGGCUAAAACUCAAAGGAAUUGACGGGGGCCCCGCACAAGCGGUGGAGCAUGUGGUUCAAUUCGACGCAACGCGAAGAACCUUACCUGGGUUAAAUCCACCGGAAUCCCGCAGAGAUGCAGGAGUGCUCGCAAGAGAGCCGGUGAGAAGGUGCUGCAUGGCUGUCGU